GGUGGAGCGGCAGACGGGUGAGUAACACGUGGGAACGUACCCUUCGGUUCGGAAUAACUCAGGGAAACUUGAGCUAAUACCGGAUACGUCCGAGAGGAGAAAGAUUUAUCGCCGAAGGAUCGGCCCGCGUCUGAUUAGCUAGUUGGUGAGGUAACGGCUCACCAAGGCGACGAUCAGUAGCUGGUCUGAGAGGAUGAUCAGCCACAUUGGGACUGAGACACGGCCCAA
rnacentral:rRNA from 1 species